GGUUAAGCGACUAAGCGUACACGGUGGAUGCCCUGGCAGUCAGAGGCGAUGAAGGACGUGCUAAUCUGCGAUAAGCGUCGGUAAGGUGAUAUGAACCGUUAUAACCGGCGAUUUCCGAAUGGGGAAACCCAGUGUGAUUCGUCACACUAUCAUUACGUGAAUACAUAGCGUAAUGAAGCGAACCGGGGGAACUGAAACAUCUAAGUACCCCGAGGAAAAGAAAUCAACCGAGAUUCCCCCAGUAGCGGCGAGCGAACGGGGAGCAGCCCAGAGUCUGAAUCAGCUUGUGUGUUAGUGGAACGGUCUGGAAAGUCCGACGGUACAGGGUGAUAGUCCCGUACACCAAAAUGCACAGGUUGUGAACUCGAAGAGUAGGGCGGGACACGUGGUAUCCUGUCUGAAUAUGGGGGGACCAUCCUCCAAGGCUAAAUACUCCUGACUGACCGAUAGUGAACCAGUACCGUGAGGGAAAGGCGAAAAGAACCCCGGCGAGGGGAGUGAAAAAGAACCUGAAACCGUGUACGUACAAGCAGUGGGAGCAUCCUUUUGGGUGUGACUGCGUACCUUUUGUAUAAUGGGUCAGCGACUUAUAUUCUGUAGCAAGGUUAACCGUAUAGGGGAGCCGAAGGGAAACCGAGUCUUAACUGGGCGUUAAGUUGCAGGGUAUAGACCCGAAACCCGGUGAUCUAGCCAUGGGCAGGUUGAAGGUUGGGUAACACUAACUGGAGGACCGAACCGACUAAUGUUGAAAAAUUAGCGGAUGACUUGUGGCUGGGGGUGAAAGGCCAAUCAAACCGGGAGAUAGCUGGUUCUCCCCGAAAGCUAUUUAGGUAGCGCCUCGUGAACUCAUCUUCGGGGGUAGAGCACUGUUUCGGCUAGGGGGUCAUCCCGACUUACCAACCCGAUGCAAACUGCGAAUACCGAAGAAUGUUAUCACGGGAGACACACGGCGGGUGCUAACGUCCGUCGUGAAGAGGGAAACAACCCAGACCGCCAGCUAAGGUCCCAAAGUCAUGGUUAAGUGGGAAACGAUGUGGGAAGGCACAGACAGCCAGGAUGUUGGCUUAGAAGCAGCCAUCAUUUAAAGAAAGCGUAAUAGCUCACUGGUCGAGUCGGCCUGCGCGGAAGAUGUAACGGGGCUAAACCAUGCACCGAAGCUGCGGCAGCGACACUAUGUGUUGUUGGGUAGGGGAGCGUUCUGUAAGCCGUUGAAGGUGUAUCGUGAGGUAUGCUGGAGGUAUCAGAAGUGCGAAUGCUGACAUAAGUAACGAUAAUGCGGGUGAAAAACCCGCACGCCGGAAGACCAAGGGUUCCUGUCCAACGUUAAUCGGGGCAGGGUGAGUCGACCCCUAAGGCGAGGCCGAAAGGCGUAGUCGAUGGGAAACAGGUUAAUAUUCCUGUACUUGGUGUUACUGCGAAGGGGGGACGGAGAAGGCUAUGUUAGCCGGGCGACGGUUGUCCCGGUUUAAGCAUGUAGGCGGAGGUUCCAGGUAAAUCCGGUACCUUUUUAACGCUGAGGUGUGAUGACGAGGCACUACGGUGCUGAAGUAACAAAUGCCCUGCUUCCAGGAAAAGCCUCUAAGCAUCAGGUAACACGAAAUCGUACCCCAAACCGACACAGGUGGUCAGGUAGAGAAUACCAAGGCGCUUGAGAGAACUCGGGUGAAGGAACUAGGCAAAAUGGUGCCGUAACUUCGGGAGAAGGCACGCUGAUAUGUAGGUGAAGUGAUUUACUCAUGGAGCUGAAAUCAGUCGAAGAUACCAGCUGGCUGCAACUGUUUAUUAAAAACACAGCACUGUGCAAACACGAAAGUGGACGUAUACGGUGUGACGCCUGCCCGGUGCCGGAAGGUUAAUUGAUGGGGUUAUCCGUAAGGAGAAGCUCUUGAUCGAAGCCCCGGUAAACGGCGGCCGUAACUAUAACGGUCCUAAGGUAGCGAAAUUCCUUGUCGGGUAAGUUCCGACCUGCACGAAUGGCGUAAUGAUGGCCAGGCUGUCUCCACCCGAGACUCAGUGAAAUUGAACUCGCUGUGAAGAUGCAGUGUACCCGCGGCAAGACGGAAAGACCCCGUGAACCUUUACUAUAGCUUGACACUGAACACUGGUCCUUGAUGUGUAGGAUAGGUGGGAGGCUUUGAAGUGUGGACGCCAGUCUGCAUGGAGCCAUCCUUGAAAUACCACCCUUUAAUGGCUGGUGUUCUAACGUGGACCCGUAAUCCGGGUUGCGGACAGUGUCUGGUGGGUAGUUUGACUGGGGCGGUCUCCUCCUAAAGAGUAACGGAGGAGCACGAAGGUUAGCUAAUCCUGGUCGGACAUCAGGAGGUUAGUGCAAAGGCAUAAGCUAGCUUGACUGCGAGAGUGACGGCUCGAGCAGGUGCGAAAGCAGGUCUUAGUGAUCCGGUGGUUCUGAAUGGAAGGGCCAUCGCUCAACGGAUAAAAGGUACUCCGGGGAUAACAGGCUGAUACCGCCCAAGAGUUCAUAUCGACGGCGGUGUUUGGCACCUCGAUGUCGGCUCAUCACAUCCUGGGGCUGAAGUAGGUCCCAAGGGUAUGGCUGUUCGCCAUUUAAAGUGGUACGCGAGCUGGGUUUAGAACGUCGUGAGACAGUUCGGUCCCUAUCUGCCGUGGGCGCUGGAGAAUUGAGGGGGGCUGCUCCUAGUACGAGAGGACCGGAGUGGACGCAUCACUGGUGUUCGGGUUGUCAUGCCAAUGGCAUUGCCCGGUAGCUAAAUGCGGAAGAGAUAAGUGCUGAAAGCAUCUAAGCACGAAACUUGCCCCGAGAUGAGUUCUCCCUGAGACU
rnacentral:rRNA from 1 species